UACAGAGGGUGCGAGCGUUGUUCGGAAUUAUUGGGCGUAAAGGGCGCGUAGGCGGUGCGGUAAGUCACCUGUGAAAUCUCCUGGCUUAACUGGGAGCCUGCAGGCGAAACUACCGUGCUGGAGUGUGGGAGAGGUGCGUGGAAUUCCCGGUGUAGCGGUGAAAUGCGUAGAUAUCGUAAGGAAGACCAGUGGCGAAGGCGGGUCUCUGGACAGUUCCUGACGCUGAGGCACGAAGGUCAGGGGAGCAAACGGG
rnacentral:rRNA from 2 species